CGUUCCUUCCCUUGUUUUCACUCCUGUUGCUCAUUGUUGAUUUUGUCAUUGCUCUGUUCCGAGUAGACUUCACUGGAAGAGGAGAACUUGCAGAGCGCCAGUGAUAGCUGA